rnacentral:rRNA from 1 species
CCUACGGGAGGCAGCAGUGAGGAAUAUUGGUCAAUGGACGAGAGUCUGAACCAGCCAAGUAGCGUGAAGGAUGACUGCCCUAUGGGUUGUAAACUUCUUUUAUAUGGGAAUAAAACGUUCCACGUGUGGGAUUUUGUAUGUACCAUAUGAAUAAGGAUCGGCUAACUCCGUGCCAGCAGCCGCGGUAAUACGGAGGAUCCGAGCGUUAUCCGGAUUUAUUGGGUUUAAGGGGAGCGUAGGUUGAUUGUUAAGUCAGUUGUGAAAGUUUGCGGCUCAACCGUAAAAUUGCAGUUGAAACUGGCAGUCUUGAGUACAGUAGAGGUGGGCGGAAUUCGUGGUGUAGCGGUGAAAUGCUUAGAUAUCACGAAGAACUCCGAUUGCGAAGGCAGUUCACUGGACUGCAACUGACACUGAGGCUCGAAAGUGUGGGUAUCAAACAGGAUUAGAUACCCCAGUAGUC